rnacentral:rRNA from 2 species
GGGUUGUGAGGUUAAGCGACUAAGCGUACACGGUGGAUGCCUAGGCAGUCAGAGGCGAUGAAGGGCGUGCUAAUCUGCGAUAAGCGUCGGUAAGCUGAUAUGAAGCGUUAUACCCGACGAUACCCGAAUGGGGAAACCCAGUGUGUUUCGACACACUAUCAUGACAUGAAUACAUAGUGUCAUGAGGCGAACCGGGGGAACUGAAACAUCUCAGUACCCCGAGGAAAAGAAAUCAACCGAGAUUCCCCCAGUAGCGGCGAGCGAACGGGGAGGAGCCCAGAACCUGAAUCAGUUUGUGUGUUAGUGGAAGCGUCUGGAAAGUCGCACAGUAAAGGGUGAUAGUCCCGUACACAAAAAUGCACAAGUUGUGAGUUCGAUGAGUAGGGCGGGACACGUGACAUCCUGUCUGAAUAUGGGGGGACCAUCCUCCAAGGCUAAAUACUCCUGACUGACCGAUAGUGAACCAGUACCGUGAGGGAAAGGCGAAAAGAACCCCGGCGAGGGGAGUGAAAUAGAACCUGAAACCGUGUACGUACAAGCAGUGGGAGCCUACUCGUUAGGUGACUGCGUACCUUUUGUAUAAUGGGUCAGCGACUUAUAUUCUGUAGCAAGGUUAACCGUAUAGGGGAGCCGCAGGGAAACCGAGUCUUAACUGGGCGUUAAGUUGCAGGGUAUAGACCCGAAACCCGGUGAUCUAGCCAUGGGCAGGUUGAAGGUUGGGUAACACUAACUGGAGGACCGAACCGACUAAUGUUGAAAAAUUAGCGGAUGACUUGUGGCUGGGGGUGAAAGGCCAAUCAAACCGGGAGAUAGCUGGUUCUCCCCGAAAGCUAUUUAGGUAGCGCCUCGUGAAUUCAUCUUCGGGGGUAGAGCACUGUUUCGGCUAGGGGGUCAUCCCGACUUACCAACCCGAUGCAAACUACGAAUACCGAAGAAUGUUAUCACGGGAGACACACGGCGGGUGCUAACGUUCGUCGUGAAGAGGGAAACAACCCAGACCGCCAGCUAAGGUCCCAAAGUCAUGGUUAAGUGGGAAACGAUGUGGGAAGGCACAGACAGCCAGGAUGUUGGCUUAGAAGCAGCCAUCAUUUAAAGAAAGCGUAAUAGCUCACUGGUCGAGUCGGCCUGCGCGGAAGAUGUAACGGGGCUAAACCAUGCACCGAAGCUGCGGCAGCGACACUUAGGUGUUGUUGGGUAGGGGAGCGUUCUGUAAGCCUGCGAAGGUGGCCUGUGAGGGCUGCUGGAGGUAUCAGAAGUGCGAAUGCUGACAUAAGUAACGAUAAUGCGGGUGAAAAACCCGCACGCCGGAAGACCAAGGGUUCCUGUCCAACGUUAAUCGGGGCAGGGUGAGUCGACCCCUAAGGCGAGGCUGAAAAGCGUAGUCGAUGGGAAACAGGUUAAUAUUCCUGUACUGGGUGUUACUGCGAAGGGGGGACGGAGAAAGCUAGGUUAUCCGGGCGACGGUUGUCCCGGUUUAAGCGUGAAGGUGGGUGACUUUGGUAAAUCCGGGUCAUCGUUAACACUGAGGCGUGAUGACGAGUCACUACGGUGAUGAAGUAACUGAUGCUACGCUUCCAGGAAAAGCCUCUAAGCUCCAGGUAACACCGAAUCGUACCCCAAACCGACACAGGUGGUCAGGUAGAGAAUACUCAGGCGCUUGAGAGAACUCGGGUGAAGGAACUAGGCAAAAUGGUGCCGUAACUUCGGGAGAAGGCACGCUGAUGGUAAGUGAAGUGACAUGCUCAUGGAGCUGAAAUCAGUCGAAGAUACCAGCUGGCUGCAACUGUUUAAUAAAAACACAGCACUGUGCAAACACGAAAGUGGACGUAUACGGUGUGACGCCUGCCCGGUGCCGGAAGGUUAAUUGAUGGGGUCAGCCGCAAGGCGAAGCUCUUGAUCGAAGCCCCGGUAAACGGCGGCCGUAACUAUAACGGUCCUAAGGUAGCGAAAUUCCUUGUCGGGUAAGUUCCGACCUGCACGAAUGGCGUAAUGAUGGCCAGGCUGUCUCCACCCGAGACUCAGUGAAAUUGAACUCGCUGUGAAGAUGCAGUGUACCCGCGGCAAGACGGAAAGACCCCGUGAACCUUUACUAUAGCUUGACACUGAACCUUGAGCCUUGAUGUGUAGGAUAGGUGGGAGGCUUUGAAGCGUGGACGCCAGUCUGCGUGGAGCCAACCUUGAAAUACCACCCUUUAAUGUUUGAUGUUCUAACGUGGACCCGUAAUCCGGGUUGCGGACAGUGUCUGGUGGGUAGUUUGACUGGGGCGGUCUCCUCCCAAAGCGUAACGGAGGAGCACGAAGGUUAGCUAAUCCUGGUCGGACAUCAGGAGGUUAGUGCAAAGGCAUAAGCUAGCUUGACUGCGAGAGUGACAGCUCGAGCAGGUGCGAAAGCAGGUCUUAGUGAUCCGGUGGUUCUGAAUGGAAGGGCCAUCGCUCAACGGAUAAAAGGUACUCCGGGGAUAACAGGCUGAUACCGCCCAAGAGUUCAUAUCGACGGCGGUGUUUGGCACCUCGAUGUCGGCUCAUCACAUCCUGGGGCUGAAGUAGGUCCCAAGGGUAUGGCUGUUCGCCAUUUAAAGUGGUACGCGAGCUGGGUUUAGAACGUCGUGAGACAGUUCGGUCCCUAUCUGCCGUGGGCGUUGGAAGAUUGAGAGGGGUUGCUCCUAGUACGAGAGGACCGGAGUGAACGCACCACUGGUGUACGGGUUGUGAUGCCAAUUGCAUUGCCCGGUAGCUAAGUGCGGAAGAGAUAACCGCUGAAAGCAUCUAAGCGGGAAACUUGCCUCGAGAUGAGUCUUCCCUGGGCACUUGAUGCCCCUGAAGGGCCGUUGAAGACGACGACGUAGAUAGGCUGGGUGUGUAAGCGUAGCGAUACGUUGAGCUAACCAGUACUAAUGACCCGAGAGGCUUAACCUUACAACACCGAAGGUGUUU